CCUACGGGCGGCAGCAGUGGGGAAUAUUGCACAAUGGGGGGAACCCUGAUGCAGCGACGCCGCGUGAGUGAAGAAGUAUUUCGGUAUGUAAAGCUCUGUCAGCAGGGAAGAAGAAAGACGGUACCUGACCAAGAAGCCCCGGCUAACUACGUGCCAGCAGCCGCGGUAAUACGUAGGGGGCAAGCGUUAUCCGGAUUUACUGGGUGUAAAGGGAGCGUAGACGGCAGGGCAAGUCUGAAGUGAAAGCCCGCGGCUCAACCGCGGAACUGCUUUGGAAACUUUUUUGCUGGAGUACCGGAGAGGUAAGCGGAAGUCCUAGUGUAGCGGUGAAAUGCGUAGAUAUUAGGAGGAACACCAGUGGCGAAGGCGGCUUACUGGACGGUAACUGACGUUGAGGCUCGAAAGCGUGGGGAGCAAACAGGAUUAGAUACCCCUGUAGUC
rnacentral:rRNA from 1 species